CAAAGCACUGCAGUGACGAAUUAAAGCUUGCUCAGGAGCUGCCUGGCCAUACAGAACUAACAACGCACUUCUCUUUCCAAACUUCACGGCCACAGUCACGGAUAGUAUUUCACUGCUUGGUACAGAACUCAUCAUUUUACGCUGGGACAAUGAGCCCUUUCAUUCCUGGGUAAUGAUGAACUUGUUCCUGAAAUAAAUGGCCACAUGGGGUCACUGAAGGUGGUUUACAGGCCUUUGGGGACACUGGCUUUUAUGAAGAGCAGUUCCAGACUCCUGGCCCUGGGCAUGGUUUCCACAUCUCUGUGAGAUCCUCUGAAAGGCACAUGGGCAAGAAAAGCUUGCUAGGUGUUCCAGAUGUACCAUCAGUCCUACGUACAGAGUAUCAUUCUUUUGGUUUUAAUAACCCUGACGGCAACCUGUCACGACGAUAAGAUUCCUUAAAGACUGCCUGCUCUGUGACUCUGAGGCACGAAAAAAAAAGUGGAUCAGGCAUCACUGUCAUCUGCCAAACCCCAGGAGGAGAACAAGCCACUUCCGCACCUGCUGGGCUCUCCCCUAUGUCUGCUUUAUUUGCUGAGGACCAAACUAUUGCAACAAAACGGGGUAGGACAAAAAGGACGAUGAAGGAGCUCAAAAAAAACAAACAAGGAAAGUGCAGACAUCUUUUCAGCCAGAUUGCUUUCAGGAUAGGGUCUACCCAGUCAACUGCGAACUGCCAACUGAGCCAGGCUCCUGGGACAAAUCAGGAAACCCAAACGUGAGUCUGACUUUUAAAUUGGACAACGUUGGUGGAAAGACUCUCACCUGGCGAUAAAAAGGAAGUAAACUGAUAGAAGAUUUCGGUGUCCUUCUUCUGACCGCUGUACCCCACGACGCUGCCGACCUCAAGCGGGAAGGUCUUGAGGAGAGCACCGGUGGCUAGGUCGUGAAGCUGCAGAAUGUUCUUUACGUUAUGGAGGUAGCAUAACACCAAAAAGUUGGACCUGACGCAAGCUACCCACUCUGAAAAGAUAACGACAGAUAAAGCAUAAUGUAGUUUUGAAAAUUAGCCCAAAACAUAUUCAUUUCACCGAACAAUAGUUCUUGAGUUCUACACUGUGCUCUGCGGCAGUGAGACUUGCAAGUGAUUUUAUAAUUGGUGUCAAUCAUGCAUCAUGUUUUCAGCGUAUCCCUUUAAUAAAUCACUGUCACCGUCAUCUCCAGAGGUAACAAGAUAUUCUCCACCUGGGGCCAGGAGCUUUUGAUGAUCUAGAUAACGUGUGUAAUACAAAUAACCCUGCUUACCUAUUUUGUGUCCAAUAUCAUGCUAUAGGAGGUAUAAGAAGGAAAACAACAAAGCCCGAAUCAUGAUCCACAUCUGUCAGGAUUGUUUACUCAACAAAACCGUAUUAAAUGUAAAUGUACAUGUAUGUGCCAGAUAUCCUGCAGGGUGCUGGACGGACCAGCAAGAAGAUGAGGUCAUUUCUGUCCUUGAGACACAAUCGCAUAAAAAUACAAGUAGUAACUUGUAAACAAGGGUGAGUGAGUGGUUGGUUGGGACCCAAAAUAAGAGAGAGCCCUUGAGCAAAUGCUGAAUUAUGUCUGGAGGGCAGGGGUGUGAAGGCGGGGGGCCUGGUGGUGUCGGGAACAGGACAGCUCUCUGGGGGACGAGAAGGUGGGAAAACAUGACUCAAGGAAUGAAGGCCAGAGCUGGGGAUGAGGAGAGAGAAAAGGAACAUGAAUGA